rnacentral:rRNA from 1 species
UACGUAGGGUGCAAGCGUUGUCCGGAAUUAUUGGGCGUAAAGAGCUCGUAGGCGGUCUGUCGCGUCGGCUGUGAAAACCCGAGGCUCAACCUCGGGCCUGCAGUCGAUACGGGCAAACUAGAGUACUGCAGGGGAGACUGGAAUUCCUGGUGUAGCGGUGAAAUGCGCAGAUAUCAGGAGGAACACCGGUGGCGAAGGCGGGUCUCUGGGCAGUAACUGACGCUGAGGAGCGAAAGCAUGGGGAGCGAACAGG